AGACAUUGUUCACUGUGAAUAGAAAGUUCAAGAAAGAUGAAACGGAAAUCGACAAAUCCAACUCAAGUGGAUUCUUGCCUUUGUUUUUUUACAAGACUUCAUUUUUAAGGGAGAUUGAAAUGGAAGAAAACGCCUGCACCUGCCCCAUUUAAGCUGGAUGAUCCAGCUCAAGUAAAUUUCUUUCUUAUCAAUCUACAAGUUCUUCUUCUUGGACAGAAGGAACAAUCCAAAUUGGAGCAUUCAUAAAUCCAGGACCGAAGUUUAAGACAGGUGAUUGGCAUUGGAUGCGAGUCUCAUGAUCUUUACAAUCUCUGCCCUUCUAUACAUGUUAGCGUGCUUAUGGAGGUUCAUCUCUUUUUCAUGCUCAGUUAGGUCAUCCCUGUCGUGCCAAAUUGCAACAGUUUGUCCCUAACUUAUCCAAGUUGCCUAAUUUGGUCUGUAAGUCGUGUCAACUAGGAUAACAUAUUCGUAGUUCAUUUCCUCGUAGUGUCUCACAACGUGCUCGUCUCCUUUAAUAUUUUUAGGAUAAUGUUAUUUUUAUUGCAUGUUAUUUCGUUAGUCAUAUGCCAUG